rnacentral:rRNA from 1 species
GCCCAGCCAUAACACAACAAUUAAAUCACCCAUUGUUCGCCAAAUAACUACGAGUGAAAACUUAAAAUUUAAAAGACUUGACGGUAUCUCACAACAACCUAGAGGAGCCUGUCCAAUAACCGAUACCCCACGAUCAACCCAACCCACCCUAGCCCAACAGUCUAUAUACCGCCGUCGCCAGCCUACCUUGUGAAAGAAACAAAGUGAGCCCAAUAGCCACCCACUAAUACGACAGGUCGAGGUGUAACUCAUGGGUGGGCCCAAGAUGGGCUACAUUUUCUAACACAGAAAAUACGAAUAAACUAUGAAAUAAGAAACUGAAGGUGGAUUUAGCAGUAUAUAAGGAAUAAACAUACCUAAUUGAAAUUAGCGCAAUGAGAUGCGUACACACCGCCCGUCAUCCCUGCCAACAAACAAAAACAUCCAUAAAAACAAGAAAAGAACAAAACAGGGCAAGUCGUAACAUGGUAAGCGUACUGGAAAGUGCGCUUAGAAA